CGCCGGACUGGACUUGAGGAGCGCAGUUGGGUGCGGCUCGGGAGUUUCGGGGCCGCUCUCCAGGCCCUGAGCCCCGCAGAAUUCUGACUCGUCGUCGUCUGUCGCGGCACAGGGUCCGCUGGGGGUGCGUCGGGAGACGCUAGACGCGAACGUUCUGCCAUUCCGAGGCGACGGGUCCGAGCUGAGGGGGCCGCAGGCUCGGGCGGGCUCACUCUCUCUCCGCAGCCGACGACUGCUGGGCCGUGGGCCGUCGGGCCGGGCCCCCGCGUGCUGCAGGGAGCCGAGGGCCCAGUCAGUCUUGGGGGAGGGAGGAGCUGGGGUAUCUGUCGUGGUCUGCAACUCUCCUGCCGGGCCGGGCAGAGCACGCACGCAUCUUGCGGACGGGGUGGGAGGGGAGGGAUGGGGGGCGUGGGUGCUGUAGGUCUACAGCGGGAGCAAGCCUUAAUGAUAGCUUCCCCCUCAGAUGACAGUCCUUGUGUGUGUAUGUGUUGGGGGGAGUGCUUUGGGCGUCCUAGAGCUAGAGGUCACGCAGAGACGGUCUGAAAACCCCUCCCUUCUAUAAGCAGCCCUGCUUGUGUGGGCUUCGGUAGCCAAGAACUUGAAACUCUCCGGGUUGGCGGCCCUCGGUCAGGAAAGUGCUGCAGUGCGACCCCUAGAGACCCGGCUGGUACUUGCCACCCCGGCUCCGACGGGCUGUGUUGGAGGAGGACGUGGGAAGCCUGGAAUUACAGGGGGACGCGGGUCAGUCCAGAGAGAACCUCCCCUGCUUAGAAGAGGCUGGGUCUGAAGACAUCAUCAGAAACUAUGGUGAAGGCCUCUGUGUGGGUGGCUAUUAAUUCAGAAUCCGUUCCACACCUGUUCGUAGUGGCCAAGGCUUGUUAAUUAAGAGAAAAUAGGACUGAAGCCUCAUUAAUAAAUAAGUGAAUCUUCUAGUUUUUCUAGGAGCUCCGUUAUUUGUGACCACAAUGACAAAUUUAGACAGUGAUGAUAUGCUAACUGACAAGCUUCAUAAGCCCAAGAGCUCGAAAGAGUGGUUGGAACCACAGCCACUUCAUCUUAUGGAGGUAUUAGCUAAAGAAGAUAUUGAUGCAGCUAUUCAAUCAAUAUUAUAUAGAGAAAAUCAUGUAAUUAAGGAACUAGAUAAGUAUUUACAACAUCAUGACUUCUUAAAUGCAAGAAGAAAAGAGAGGUUAUAUAAAAGAUGGACUGACCACGUGGCAGAUCCUCUCCAGAAGAAAAUUAUAGAAAAAGUUUGUUCACAUAAGAAUAUUAAAAAAAGGAGACAAGAAGAAUUAGAUGGUUUUUUAAAACAUGUAAAUAAAAAGGGAAAUGCAUUUAUGGAGCAUUAUGAUCCGAAAGAGUAUGAUCCUUUUUAUAUGAACAAAGAGGACCCGAAUUUUCUGAAGGUUACCAUUCCACCAUUUCGUGAUCCUUUGAAAAAGGCACAAUAUGACAAAGAUGAUGAUAAAAGAACUCUUCUUCAGUGUGAGACUGGCAAAAUAUGUACAAUGAAAGAAUUUAAAGAGGUUGAGAAGGCCAAACUGCAUUCCAGGUUUCCAAGAAUUUCUAAUUCAAGGCACUUUAUGACUCCAAAUAAAUGGCUUAUGCUGCCUACAACCUACAUAGAAAGUGAAUUUUGUAAAAGGAGCAGGUUAAAAGUGAAAGUGAAUUUUAACAAUGGUAAUUUUGAUUUGAAACCCGUGGCAAGAGCUCCUCAUCCCCUGGAAUCUCAAGAAGCAGGAAAAGCACUCAUUUACAAAAACAAAGGAUCAUCCUUUCUGGAAAAAGAGCCUCUAUGUUUUCAUGAGAGAAAAGAAACCAAGUCCCAAAGAGGUCAACUCUGAAGGGCACUUUUCUUCCAUGGCCCUCAGCCAAGAAGUAGAAAGGGAUGAGGACCAGGAUGCGGUUUUAGCAACAAAGGAGCACACACCUUGAUCCCUGAUUGGUAAGACACAAAAGAAGGCUGCUUCAGAGAAGCCAUUUGCCAGCAGGAUUCAUUCAUGUUGAGGACCAAGGAAGGCACUCAAGCACCUGCAAUAAACUCCACUUAAAUUCAGUGUCUGUAUGAUAAUUAAGAAAUGACAAUACCUUGUAUUGAUAAUUAUUACAAAUGUAUGUUUCCCAGAAGUUAAAUAUUGGCUGAAAGAUCCAAUAAAAAUAAUGACAGCUGGGGCACCUGGGUGGCUCAGUUGGCUAA